AAACACUGCAGAUGUCAAGACAGGUAAGAUUUAGUUCUGCCUCGAGUUCACCAUCUCUAGUGGUGAAGACUCCCAGGUUCUUUGAAAUCCAUAGGCAGGGUGAUGGUCUCAUGAGGUUCCCCCAGCCCUGCCCCCUGCACACAACUCUGUGCCCUGGGAGGCUUUCUGAGAGGCAGGUGGGACUCACCGGUGGCCCCUUCCUUGCCAGUGUUGACAAAGGUUCCCAAACCCCUGAGAACAACCUCAGUGGGUCCCCGGUGAUGAAGAUGUCUCUGGCAAUUUUGGUGUAUUUAUCUCUAACUAGGUUUGGGGGUGGUCCGGGGUGGGGCCCGUUCCCAAUUUGCGGCAGGAAUUUCCAUGUGUGGACGGAUGCCUGGAUGAAGCGACCGGAUCUGCCCAAGGGCUACGACGGCUGGCAGGCUGUGGACGCAACGCCGCAGGAGCGAAGCCAGGGUGUCUUCUGCUGUGGGCCAUCACCACUGACCGCCAUCCGCAAAGGUGACAUCUUUAUUGUCUAUGACACCAGAUUCGUCUUCUCAGAAGUGAAUGGUGACAGGCUCAUCUGGUUGGUGAAGAUGGUGAAUGGGCAGGAGGAGUUACACGUAAUUUCAAUGGAGACCACAAGCAUCGGGAAAAACAUCAGCACCAAGGCAGUGGGCCAAGACAGGCGGAGAGAUAUCACCUAUGAGUACAAGUAUCCAGAAGGU
rnacentral:sRNA from 1 species